rnacentral:rRNA from 1 species
GACGAACACUGGCGGCGUGCUUAACACAUGCAAGUCGAACGGAAAGGCCCUGCUUUUGUGGGGUGCUCGAGUGGCGAACGGGUGCGUAACACGUGAGUAACCUGCCCUUGACUUUGGGAUAACUUCAGGAAACUGGGGCUAAUACCGGAUAGGAGCUCCUGCUGCAUGGUGGGGGGUGGAAAGUUUCGGCGGUUGGGGAUGGAUUCGCGGCUUAUCAGCUUGUUGGUGGGGUAGUGGCGUACCAAGGCAUUGACGGGUCGCCGGCGUGAGAGGGUGACCGGCCACAUUGGGACUGGGAUACGGCCCAGACUCCUACGGGAGGCAGCAGUGGGGAAUAUUGCACAAUGGGCGGAAGCCUGAUGCAGCAACGCCGCGUGCGGGAUGACGGCCUUCGGGUUGUAAACCGCUUUCGCCUGUGACGAAGCGUGAGUGACGGUAAUGGGUAAAGAAGCACCGGCUAACUACGUG